rnacentral:rRNA from 1 species
UGGGGAAUAUUGCACAAUGGGCGCAAGCCUGAUGCAGCCAUGCCGCGUGUAUGAAGAAGGCCUUCGGGUUGUAAAGUACUUUCAGCGGGGAGGAAGGGAGUAAAGUUAAUACCUUUGCUCAUUGACGUUACCCGCAGAAGAAGCACCGGCUAACUCCGUGCCAGCAGCCGCGGUAAUACGGAGGGUGCAAGCGUUAAUCGGAAUUACUGGGCGUAAAGCGCACGCAGGCGGUUUGUUAAGUCAGAUGUGAAAUCCCCGGGCUCAACCUGGGAACUGCAUCUGAUACUGGCAAGCUGGAGUCUCGUAGAGGGGGGUAGAAUUCCAGGUGUAGCGGUGAAAUGCGUAGAGAUCUGGAGGAAUAACGGUGGCGAAGGCGGCCCCCUGGACGAAGACUGACGCUCAGGUGCGAAAGCGUGGGGAGCAAACAGG